ACUUUUCUAGUAUAAUAGUACAAGUGACUUCCAAUCACUAAGUUCUGACUUAACCCCAGAGAAAAGUA
rnacentral:tRNA from 1 species